rnacentral:rRNA from 1 species
UACGAGUGCCCCGAGCGUUAUCCGGAAUUAUUGGGCGUAAAGGAUGUGUAGGUGGUUAUGUUAGUCUCUUGUUAAAUUCUUCGGCUUAACCGGGGACAUGCAAGGGAAACGGCAUAACUUGAGGAUGCGAGGGGUGGUGCGGAACUCAUGGUGGUAGGGGGUGAAAUCUGUUGAUAUCAUGGGGGAAACACCAAAAGCGAAGGCAGCACACUGGAGCACUCCUGACACUGAAACAUGAAAGCGUGGGUAGCGAAUGGG